rnacentral:rRNA from 1 species
UACGGAGGAUGCAAGCGUUAUCCGGAUUUAUUGGGUUUAAAGGGUGCGCAGGUUGUUUGAUAAGUCAGUGGUGAAAGUCUGUCGCUUAACGGUAGGAUUGCCAUUGAUACUGUUAGACUUGAAUAUGGAUGAGGUAGGCGGAAUGUGUAGUGUAGCGGUGAAAUGCAUAGAUAUUACACAGAACACCGAUUGCGAAGGCAGCUUACUAAUCCAUCAUUAACGCUGAGGCACGAAAGCGUGGGGAUCAAACAGGA